CCCGCCGCUGAUAAAUCCCGGUGCCAGGGGCAGCGCGGCACUUGGCGGCGGCCGCGCUGCGGGGAGGCGGCGGAGCUCGGCCCCUCCCCGCGGCGGAGAGCCCGGCAGGGCACCGGGAGGCGCAGCCGCCGGAGCUCAGCCCUCUCAACAGCAUUUGGCCUGUGUAAAAUGAAACACCUGCCCAAGAUUUUACUUCUGCAAACAGCUGGUGGAUUAACCCUUCUAAACCUUUUUUACACAGAAUGGGAACAAGAAGCCAAAAUGCUGAAAAUAAGGCCACCCUAUUGAAGGUGCAAGGCUGAAUGCUGCAGUGAGAGCAUGUGUGAAGACAGAAGCAAGGCUGCAACAACCCCCCAAGCAUGCUCAAGGUCAGCCCCUCUCAAAGAAGACCAGAAGGUCACAUUUGACUUAAAAGGCACUCAGUCUCAGCCCUGCGGUGUGUUUGUCACCCUUCAGCAGCAGGUGAAGCAGACAGAGACUCCAAGCAUGAGUAUGCAGGAGGUCAUCUUCUCUACAACCAGUGCUGCUCCAGCAGAUUGCUGGGUGAGAAGAAAACCAAACUGAUUUGCAAUAUGGAGUACUUCACACAUGGUCAUUGAGAAGAGCACAACUUGCUGGACAGUCUCCACAGAACUUCAACACCAUUUUGGAAUGGCCCACUGUGUCAGCGUGACAAAAGACAACUAGUCCUAAGGGCUACAACUGCUCCUUUGACAAUGUUGGGACAGCCUCCAGAAUAAACUUUCAGCUCCUACUGGCUUUUACUGGAUGUAGCUUUGAUGCCAAGGCCUCUGCAAAGUAACAGAAUCAGAGGAUGUUUGGAACGUUAUCUGUGCUGUGUAGAAUCCAGCAAUAAAUUAUUCUAAUACAAUGGCCUAAUCAAGUUAAUAGAGCUUAUAAAACUGUCUACUGUAUUUCAUCAUAUUUAAUUUGCUGCAACGACCUGGAUGUGUCCAGGUUUCAGCCUCAUUUUUGCAGCCAUCAGGUGCUCUGAGAAAUGCUGUGCCAGCUGAGGAGUCUCUGUGUCACCAGCACCUCUGCAUCAAUCUACAUCUGCAGUGCUUCCUGAGUAUUUGGCUGCUUCUCAUUUUCCAUGAUGGUCCCAAGUGAAGCAGUACCCUCACCACCAUAGGGAGAGCCACAAGGGAUGACCUAUGGCCUGGUCAUCCCCACAAAGAGUGGGGGUGCAAGAGGGAAGACCCAGCCUUUGGCCACCCACAGAUACAACCUCCUCUGGGACAUAAGCUUUGGGGUGGCUCAGGCUGCACAGAAGUUUGGUGCACCUCGCCAGGAAUUUAGCCAGAGUUAUCUUCCUGCUGUGUUUUGUGGUCUGUGAGGAAUAUGAUGCACUACCCCAGCAGCCUGUCCUGCUGCCUGUGCCCUGUAACAGUGCUUAGCCAGGGAGCAGUGACUCACUGGUGUCCCCCAGCCCACAGGAUGGUGGGACCUAGCUUUUCACAGGAGAUAGGGCAUCACAGGAUGCAGUCCGUGUCUCUGUGUUUGGUCAGAUGGGCUCACAUGCCCCAGCAGGUGGCUGUGGCAAAACAGGUGUGUUGGGAUGUAGGGAACAGAUGUGUAAGAAAAGCCAGUUAGUUUAGAUGCUGCCCAGAUGAGGUGUGAUACUGAUGCUGCUGUCAUUAAUUUAACAUUAUUCAUUCUCAUCUAAAAAAACUUCCCUAGGUAGACAUGGAUAUUUUAUUUAAACUAGAAUAAGAUGAGACGUCUGGUUCCCACUUGUAUUUUCUUAUAAUAAGUGCAGCAGUGGCUGUAAUCAUAGAGUCAUGUAGGUUGGACCUCCAGAGGUCAUCUAGUCCAAUCUCUUCUAAAUGUAAAAGGCAGAUUAGUCAUCUCCAAGUAUGUUGUGCCAUGUGAAGGGUCACAUGAAAUGAUUUUUCAGGAGAUUAAAGGUCUCUUGGGAAGGGGCAGCUGAGACAUUAUCCAUCUCCUCAUUGGGUGAGAGUGUUGAUCUGCUGCAGUGUAGGAAGGCUCUGCAGAAAGAUCUGGAGAGGCUGGAUCACUAGGCCAAACUCAAUUAUAUGACAUUCAACAAGGCCGAGUGCCAGGUCCUGCCAUUCAGCCCCAACAACCCCAUGCAGUGCUAGAGGCUGGGGGAAGAGUGGCUGGAAAGCUGCCCAGGGGAAAAAGAGCUUGGGGUGCUGGUCAAUAGCAGCUAAACAUGAGCCAGCUGUGCCCAGGUAGUCAAGAAAACCAAUGGCACCUGGCCUGUAUCAGCAAUAGUGUGGCCAGCAGGACCAGGAGGGUGGCCACCCCCCUGCCACACCUCGACUGCUGUGUCCAGUUCUGGGCCCCUCACUUUAAAAAGGACAUAUUGAUACUGGAGCAAGCUGGUGAAGGGUUGAGUCCUGUGAGGAGCAGCUGAGGGAGUGGGGCUGUUCAGCUCAGAGAAAAGAAGGCUCAGGGAUGAUCUUUAUCACUCUCUACAGCUGCCUGAAAGGAGGUUGUAGCCAGGUGGGUCUUUUCUUUUCCUAGGGAAUCUGCAACAGGACAAGGGUAUAAUCUCAAGCUGUUCCAGGAGUGGUUCAGACUGGACAUUAGAAGGAAUUUCUUCACAGAAAGGGUUGUCAGCUUCAGAACAGGCUGCCCAGUCAUUGUCUCUGGAACUGCUUAAGGAAAGACUGGACAGGGCGCUUAGCUCCAUGGUCUAGUUGACAUGGUAGUGUCCAGUUAAAAGCUGGACUCGAUCUCAAAGGUCUUUUCUAACCUAAUUAUUUUCUGAUUCAAUGCCACCAAGAGUGCUGCAGCUGGAGACAAAGGAUAAUAGGGGACAGCCAUUACAUGUUUCACAUUCACAUGUCAGAGUCUGCCUCUGCCUCUGAACCUCCAAUCUCCUUCUUCAGUGCGUGCAGGUGGUGCAGGGCCAGAACCACCUCCCAGGAGAAAGUGCCUUGGACUCACUGGUGAAGUCCUCAGCAGGACAGGACAAACAGAAUGCCCUGAGCUCUGGGGCAGGUGUGCUGAUAGGAUGCUUCACCAGGGGUAGAGCACUCCUACCAGUCAGGAUUCCACAUUCCUUUGGAUAUAUUCUGGUUUGGUGUCUUCUGAAUUCUAAAUUCCAUAUCAUAAGUGGUACCAUAUAAGCCUAGAAAUAAACCCAAAUAGCAUGACACAGAAUCACAACAGCUCCUUUUCUUAUCCCAAAAUCUGCUCUGUUUCAUUGGUAAAAUGCCCUGGAGAUUCCACUCUGUGAAGAAAGAAUAUUUACCUUGCCCAAGUUUUGACAGAGGAGAUUUUUUUCAUCUGGUAGGAUUUUCAGAACCAUCCUGUUCAGAAUCUAACUCUGUCCAGUUAAUGUCACCCAGGUUGGUGUAUGUUUGUUUUUGAGACAGAGAAGUGUUGCAAGUGAGCAGUGUGCACAUUUAACAAAGCAGGAGGGGUGUCGGGGCUGGUAGCCUGUUCAAACAGGAUUAGUGGUGUUGUCUGUGUGGAUGCUGCCCAGCAUCUCUCACUGCAAGUAAUGCUGGGCUGCCUAUCAGCUGCAAAGCUGACAGAAUCUAGAGGGGAGACAGUGGCUCUUCCCACGUGGGACCAGGAAACCUCAAAUGCUACCUAAGUGUUCUUCCAGCCCUUUCUGGG